rnacentral:rRNA from 1 species
AGGACGAACGCUUGCGACGUGCCUAAGAAAUGCAAGUCGAACGGGGUAGCAAUACCUAGUGGCGAACGGUCGCGUAACACGUGGGCAACCUGCCCCAGAGCGGGGGACAACAGUCCGAAAGGACUGCUAAUACCGCAUGUGGAUGGCAUCGGCAUCGAUGCUUUUCUAAAGGAUUUAUUCACUCUGGGAUGGGCCCGCGGCCUAUCAGCUAGUUGGUGGGGUAACGCCUACCAAGGCUUCGACGGGUAGCUGGUCUGAGAGGACGAUCAGCCGGAUUGGGACUGAGAUACGGCCCAGACUCCUACGGGGGGCAGCAAUUAGGAAUCUUGCGCAAUGGGCGAAAGCCUGACGCAGCGACGUCGCGUGGAGGAUGAAAUCUUUCGGGAUGUAAACUCCUUUUACCAGGAAGAAGAAUGUGACGGUACCUGGGGAAUAAGCCCGGCUAACUACGUGCCAGCAGCCGC